GGUGAGGGGGGGGGGGGGUUUAUUGCAGGAAAUUUUCCUGAAGGUUUUAGUUUCGUGCGUAAGCAAACAUCAGAAACAUCCGUCGGCAGUUAGUGUCUUUUCGUGCUGCUGACCUUUUAAAAGCAGCAACAAAUAAUUUAUAAGGGAAGCCUCGUUUAUGACCGGAUAUCAUCGCCAAACAGCAGUGGGACACUGAAGGUGAGACAGAUGCACCCCCCCGGGGCUCCGAUUAUGUGGCCGAUAGACAUUGGGGACCGCAAUCCUGUACACACCCCCCUCCCACUCCAAAGUGGGGCCCGGGGAAGCUGGAGAGCAGGAUUACUACAGGGGCCCCCGCACACCAGGCCCCUGGGUGUUGAGAGCUUAAUGGCAAGUUUGGAAUCUUAUCAGAAGACACUGAUGAAUUCAAGAGCCCCCCCCCUCCCACCACCCAAAUUCUGGCCACACUUUGAUGUUACUCCUCUCCUGGCCAGGAAACAAUGAAAAGCAGACCUCUCAGGUCUGGCCCUCCAGGAUCAGGCCGGGGGGGAGAGGCUCCAAGCAGCAGGGUGUCCCAAGUCUUUGAGUCCAUUCAUGGUUCAGAAGAUCUGCUGAGAUGAUUUUUUUUUUUUUGUUUUUCCUUGAGGAGUUUGGUUUAUUGAGAGGCCGGAGGAGCCACUUCACGUUAACGUGAAGGUUGAAUCGGACAGGCGUGGGUGCUGGGGUAGUUUUGUGCAGUAUGGUCUGUCGUGGGGGGGUCUGUUUAGAAACCCUCUAGUUCUCACAAUGAGCUUUGGGUCCUCAGGUAUUGAAGUGGCUUUGUACAAUGUGCAGAGACCACAAAGCUUCCCAUAGCUAAUCUAUGCGCUAACUGAACCCCCCCCCCCCCCAAUUUGAGACUCAAAUGGUGCGGCCUUUGGUCAGCGGGGCCCACGGAAGGUACUAUGUCACCAGCCCGUGGGGGGAGAAGGCCUGCUCUGGAUCAGCCUCCUCCCUCAGACAAGACGGGAGCUGUGUAUGAGUCACCGGGCUCCCUGGAGCGACGUUCCCGUCCGAUUUCACCCAUGAGAAAGAAAAGCAAAGAAAAACACUGACUUGCCUAGAGAAAGAGCCUGUCCUGCCUGUUUUCUAGAAGGCUCCGUUUUAUGUUCCGCUCUUGGUCACGAUCCAUGCACACUGUUUUUGUCUAUGUGACGCUGCACAUCAGCUGUGGGGCCGGGUCGUGCGUCAGGGUAUAGGUCUGCGUUUGUCAGGGUAUAGGUCUGCGUUUGUCAGGGUAUAGGUCUACGUUUGUCAGGGUAUAGGUCUGCAUUUGUCAGAGUAUAGGUCUACGUUUGUCAGGCUAUAGGUCUGCGUUUGUCAGGGUAUAGGUCUACGUUUGUCAGGAUAUAGGUCUACGUUUGUCAGGCUAUAGGUCUGCGUUUGUCAGGGUAUAGGUCUACGUUUGUCAGGGUAUAGGUCUACGUUUGUCAGGAUAUAGGUCUCCGUUUGUCAGGGUAUAGGUCUAUGUUUGUCAGGGUAUAGGUUUGUGUUUGGAUCCCAUGAUGUUGCUGAAAUACAGAAACGAGGGUAACAGCCAGCUGGGUGCUGGCAUUCUGUAUCAUGUGCUGUAAUGUGAAACCUGGAGUAGCCGAUAUUGUGAUAUGCAGUGAUUUAUUUCCAGUUUAUCCAGUUGAUUCUGGUUAUUGCCUGACUGGCUGAUGAUGGUAGGUGACCCUGUUGCCGCUCUGC